GUAAACGUUAGCUCAGUGGUUAGAGCUCCCGCUUGUUAAUCUCAGGGUCCGUGGUUCGAGCCCGCGAUUACU
rnacentral:tRNA from 1 species